AAAGGAAUUGACGGGGACCCGCACAAGCGGUGGAGCAUGUGGUUUAAUUCGAUGCAACGCGAAAAACCUUACCACUCCUUGACAUGGAAAUUAUACCUAUUCGAAGGGAUAGGGUCGGUUCGGCCGGGUUUCACACAGGUGUUGCAUGGCUGUCGUCAGCUCGUGUCGCGAGAUGUUGGGUUAAGUCCCGCAACGAGCGCAACCCUCAUCCUUAGUUACCAUCAGGUAAUGCUGGGGACUUUAAGGAGACUGCCAGUGAUAAACUGGAGGAAGGUGGGGAUGAUGUCAAGUCAUCAUGGCCCUUAUGGAGUGGGCUACACACGUGCUACAAUGGUGGCUACAAUGGGCUGCAAAGUCGCGAGGCUAAGCCAAUCCCUUAAAAGCCAUCUCAGUUCGGAUUGUACUCUGCAACUCGAGUGCAUGAAGUUGGAAUCGCUAGUAAUCGUGGAUCAGCACGCCACGGUGAAUACGUUCUCGGGUCUUGUACACACUGCCCGUCACGCCAUGGGAAUUGGUUUCACUCGAAGCUAACGACCUAACCGCAAGGAGGGAGUUAUUUAAAGUGGGAUCGGUGACUGGGGUG
rnacentral:rRNA from 1 species